GUGCUCACUUUGGCAGCACAUGUAAUAAAAUUGGAAUGAUACAGAGAAGAUUAGCAUGGACCCUGCACAAGGAUGACACAUAAAUUUAUGAAGUGUUCUAUAUUUUA